rnacentral:rRNA from 1 species
CCUACGGGAGGCAGCAGUGAGGAAUAUUGGUCAAUGGACGAGAGUCUGAACCAGCCAAGUAGCGUGAAGGAUGACUGCCCUAUGGGUUGUAAACUUCUUUUAUAUGGGAAUAAAAUGUGCCACGUGUGGGAUUUUGUAUGUACCAUAUGAAUAAGGAUCGGCUAACUCCGUGCCAGCAGCCGCGGUAAUACGGAGGGUCCGAGCGUUAUCCGGAUUUAUUGGGUUUAAAGGGAGCGUAGGUGGAUUGUUAAGUGAGUUGUGAAAGUUCGCGGCUCAACCGUAGAAUUGCAGUUGAAACUGGCAGUCUUGAGUGCGCGAGAGGUAUGCGGAAUUCGUGGUGUAGCGGUGAAAUGCUUAGAUAUCACGAAGAACUCCGAUUGCGAAGGCAGCUCACGGGAGUGCAACUGACGCUGAGGCUCGAAGGUGUGGGUAUCGAACAGGAUUAGAUACCCUAGUAGUC